rnacentral:rRNA from 1 species
AGCGAACGCUGGCGGCAGGCCUAACACAUGCAAGUCGAACGGAUCCUUCGGGAUUAGUGGCGGACGGGUGAGUAACACGUGGGAACGUGCCCUUUGGUUCGGAACAACUCAGGGAAACUUGAGCUAAUACCGGAUGUGCCCUUCGGGGGAAAGAUUUAUCGCCAUUGGAGCGGCCCGCGUCUGAUUAGCUAGUUGGUGAGGUAACGGCCCACCAAGGCGACGAUCAGUAGCUGGUCUGAGAGGAUGAUCAGCCACACUGGGACUGAGACACGGCCCAGACUCCUGCGGGAGGCAGCAGUGGGGAAUCUUGCGCAAUGGGCGAAAGCCUGACGCAGCCAUGCCGCGUGAAUGAUGAAGGUCUUAGGAUUGUAAAAUUCUUUCAGCGGGGACGAUAAUGACGGUACCCGCAGAAGAAGCGCCGGCUAACUUCGUG